UGGACACAUUUAGAAAGCAUUAAAAAUAUAUUGUUGAAUGAAUAAAUUAAGUCCUAAUAUUAUUUAGAGCUAUUAGAUUGGCUGAAAAGGUUCUUUAUCUAUGCACCACAAAACCAUUUGCAAUAAAUACAGUAGGAAUAAAGUUGUUGGAAGCCUUUUUCUAACUGGAGGAGACUCCAAACAAGACUGGCCUAAGGAAGACUCAAGGAAAGACUUGAAGACUCAUGGGAAGGCUCGGACUCUUGCUGCUCUUAUAUAUUAGGAAGGCAAGAUGACAACGAGUACACUCUGAAGACAAGGUUGAAUACCACACACCAAGCUUGAUGAGAAACCUAUUCAGAAGAGCUUCCUCGGGUUUCCCUAAGCUAUGUAGGCCAAAGACUGCCUCUAAACAUCAUGACCUCCAACCAAUGGUGCUCCUGUUACCACUAUGUGAGAUGCCUUUUAUCCUCUUUAUCACAUUGCUUCCACACAAUAACUU
rnacentral:lncRNA from 1 species